rnacentral:rRNA from 1 species
UCAAAGGAAUUGACGGGGACCCGCACAAGCAGUGGAGUAUGUGGUUUAAUUAGAAGCAACGCGAAGAACCUUACCAGGUCUUGACAUCCCUUUGACCGGUCUAGAGAUAGACCUUUCCUUCGGGACAGAGGAGACAGGUGGUGCAUGGUUGUCGUCAGCUCGUGUCGUGAGAUGUUGGGUUAAGUCCCGCAACGAGCGCAACCCUUAUGUUUAGUUGCCAGCAGGUCAAGCUGGGCACUCUAAGCAGACUGCCGGUGACAAACCGGAGGAAGGUGGGGAUGACGUCAAAUCAUCAUGCCCCUUAUGACCUGGGCUACACACGUACUACAAUGGCCGGUACAACGGGAAGCGAAGGCGCGAUGUGGAGCCAAUCCUAGAAAAGCCGGUCUCAGUUCGGAUUGUAGGCUGCAACUCGCCUACAUGAAGUCGGAAUUGCUAGUAAUCGCGGAUCAGCAUGCCGCGGUGAAUACGUUCCCGGGUCUUGUACACACCGCCCGUCACACCACGAG